rnacentral:sRNA from 1 species
CCGCCCAGCGCCGCCGACGGCGGCCUCGGUGUUGCUGCCGGCGACCGCCGCGCCACUGAGCAAGCUGGCGGACAACAGGAAAAUCGAGGCGUACUUCAUGGUGUUAUCCCGAACUGUGGAAUGGCCGCGCGAUCCUCACGUGCCGUUGCGCUUGCCGCAAGGCUUUCCCGACGAAAUGAGUGACGCCGUUCUUGUUUUGUAAUUAUUUGAUUUUAAAGAGGAACUUUGGCUUGGCGAGGCGGUCGGGGGGCUCGCGGGCGUCAGCCCCUUCACGGGGGCGUCCUGGGCGUCAGCGCCGGUCGGCGGCGAUGAGCA